rnacentral:rRNA from 1 species
UAAUACGGAGGGUGCGAGCGUUAAUCGGAAUUACUGGGCGUAAAGCGCGCGUAGGCGGCUUUGUAAGUCAGGGGUGAAAUCCCACGGCUCAACCGUGGCAUUGCCUUUGAUACUGCAGAGCUUGAGUUCGGGAGAGGGUGGUGGAAUUCCAGGUGUAGGAGUGAAAUCCGUAGAGAUCUGGAGGAACAUCAGUGGCGAAGGCGACCACCUGGCCCGAUACUGACGCUGAGGUGCGAAAGCGUGGGUAGCAAACAGG